GGGCGCUAGUUGUGCGAACCUUCCACGGUUUGUGCGACGCAGCUAACGCAUUAAGCGCCCCGCCUGGGGAGUACGAUCGCAAGAUUAAAACUCAAAGGGAUUGACGGGGCCCCGCACAAGCAGCGGAGCAUGCGGCUUAAUUCGACGCAACGCGAAGAACCUUACCAAGGCUUGACAUAUACAGGAAUACGGCAGAGAUGUCGUAGCCGCAAGGUCUGUAUACAGGUGGUGCAUGGUUGUCGUCAGCUCGUGUCGUGAGAUGUUGGGUUAAGUCCCGCAACGAGCGCAACCCUCGUUCUGUGUUGCCAGCAUUUAGUUGGGGACUCACAGGAGACUGCCGGGGUUAACUCGGAGGAAGGUGGGGAUGACGUCAAAUCAUCAUGCCCCUUAUGUCUUGGGCUGCACGCAUGCUACAAUGGCUGGUACAAACGGCUGCAAUACCGCAAGGUGGAGCGAAUCCGAGAAAGCCAGUCUCAGUUCGGAUUGGGGUCUGCAACUCGACCCCAUGAAGUCGGAGUUGCUAGUAAUCGUAGAUCAGCAACGCUACGGUGAAUACGUUCCCGGGGCUUGUACACACCGCCCGUCACAUCACGAAAGUCGGUAACACCCAAAAGUCAGUGCCCAACC
rnacentral:rRNA from 1 species